UACGGAGGGUGCAAGCGUUAUCCGGAAUCACUGGGUUUAAAGGGUGCGUAGGCGGCUUGAUAAGUCAGGGGUGAAAGCCCGCGGCUUAACUGCGGAACUGCCUUUGAUACUGUCGAGCUUGAAAGAGGUUGGGGUCAGCGGAACAUGACAUGUAGCGGUGAGAUGCAUAGAUAUGUAACAGAAAACCGAUUGCGAAGGCAGCUGGCUGGACCUACUUUGACGCUGAGGAACGAAAGCGUGGGGAGCAAACAGG
rnacentral:rRNA from 1 species